rnacentral:rRNA from 1 species
UACGUAGGGUGCGAGCGUUGUCCGGAAUUAUUGGGCGUAAAGAGCUCGUAGGCGGUGUGUCACGUCGUUCGUGAAAACCUGCAGCUUAACUGUGGGCGUGCGGUCGAUACGGGCAUCACUGGAGUUCGGCAGGGGAGACUGGAAUUCCUGGUGUAGCGGUGAAAUGCGCAGAUAUCAGGAGGAACACCGGUGGCGAAGGCGGGUCUCUGGGCCGAUACUGACGCUGAGGAACGAAAGCCAGGGUAGCGAACGGG